CCCUUAGAUGUUCUGGGCCGCACGCGCGCUACACUGAUAAUGUCAACAAGCUUUACCUUGGCCGAUAGGUCUGGGCAAUCUUCGAACUAUUAUCGUGAUGGGGCUAGAUUAUUGCAACUAUUAAUCUUAAACGAGGAAUUCCUAGUAAGCGCGAGUCAUCAGCUCGCGUUGAUUACGUCCCUGCCCUUUGUACACACCGCCCGUCGCUCCUACCGAUUGAAUGCUCAGGUGAGCCAUUCGGACUUUCAUCAUGCUGGUUUCCAGUUUUGAUGAAGGAAAGUCUUGCGAACCUUAUCAUUUAGAGGAAGGAGAAGUCGUAACA
rnacentral:rRNA from 1 species